UGCAGUCGCACGAGAACGCUUCAGCUUGCUGAAGUAAGUAAAGUGGCGCACGGGUGAGUAACGCGUGGGUAAUCUACCCUUGAAUUGGGGAUAACCCGCCGAAAGGCGGGCUAAUACCGAAUGACAUCUUGAAAACUUAUGUUUUCAGGAUCAAAGGUGGCCUCUACAUGUAAGCUAUUGUUUGGGGAUGAGCCCGCGUACCAUUAGCUUGUUGGUAGGGUAAUGGCCUACCAAGGCUACGAUGGUUAGCUGGUCUGAGAGGAUGAUCAGCCACACUGGAACUGACACACGGUCCAGACUCCUACGGGAGGCAGCAGUGAGGAAUUUUGCGCAAUGGGGGAAACCCUGACGCAGCAACGCCGCGUGAGUGAUGAAGGCUUUCGGGUCGUAAAGCUCUGUCAAGUGGGAAGAACUCAUAUGGUGUUAAUACUGCCAUAUGUUGACGGUACCACUGAAGGAAGCACCGGCUAACUCCGUGCCAGCAGCCGCGGUAAUACG
rnacentral:rRNA from 1 species